rnacentral:rRNA from 1 species
CCUACGGGAGGCAGCAGUGAGGAAUAUUGGUCAAUGGGCGGAAGCCUGAACCUGCCAAGUCGCGUGAGGGAUUAAGGCCCUGCGGGUCGUAAACCUCUUUUGCCGGGGAGCAGUGGUCCGGACGAGUCCGGGCCGGGAGAGUACCCGGAGAAAAAGCAUCGGCUAACUCCGUGCCAGCAGCCGCGGUAAUACGGAGGAUGCGAGCGUUAUCCGGAUUUAUUGGGCUUAAAGGGUGCGUAGGCGGGCAUUUAAGCCGGCGGUCAAAUGUCGGGGCUCAACCCCGGCCUGCCGUCGGAACUGGGUGCCUUGAGUGGGCGAGAAGUAUGCGGAAUGCGUGGUGUAGCGGUGAAAUGCAUAGAUAUCACGCAGAACCCCGAUUGCGAAGGCAGCAUACCGGCGCCCGACUGACGCUGAGGCACGAAAGUGCGGGUAUCGAACAGGAUUAGAUACCCCAGUAGUC